UACAGAGGGGGCAAGCGUUGUUCGGAAUUACUGGGCGUAAAGGGCGCGUAGGCGGCCUGUUAAGUCGAACGUGAAAUCCCUGGGCUCAACCCAGGAACUGCGUCCGAUACUGGCAGGCUUGAAUCCGGGAGAGGGAUGUGGAAUUCCAGGUGUAGCGGUGAAAUGCGUAGAUAUCUGGAGGAACACCGGUGGCGAAGGCGGCAUCCUGGACCGGUAUUGACGCUGAGGCGCGAAAGCCAGGGGAGCAAACGG
rnacentral:rRNA from 1 species